UGGCUCAGAGGUUAAGAGCACUGGCUGCUUUUCCAGAGGUCCUGAGUUCAAUUCUCAG
rfam:Mus musculus chromosome X, GRC primary reference assembly.